GCUGACUGGAGUCCGCGGCGAACCGUUCGUGGCGAACCGUGGCGGACUGUUCGCGAACCGUUCGGCGAACCGUUCCGGACAUCACUAUUUAACAGUGCUUGUUUGCCAGUUUAAAAAAACAAUUGUCACGUGAUGCAUGUCCCUUUAACACCUCAAUCUAGGCACAUGUCCCACAAGCAGAUUAUGUGAUAUAAUUAAUUCAAUUUUAAGAACAGUGCGUACCAUUGCUAUUUUUUUAUGAUAGGUUCAUGAACUGCACUUAUCCGUUUUGAAAGGUGACAGCAAAAUGCUUGUUACAUAUGGCUAGUCAUCUAAGGAGCAAAUCACUGAUAUAUUUUCAACAGUUAAUUGUUUAUUGAUCUCCUGUUUUCAUCGGUGACAUAAAAAUGGAUUUGUUGCCCAACUAAAUCUCAUUAAGCUUAAUUUAAUUUAUAUUCACAAUUAUUACAUUUUUUAAAUGAAAAAAUUGUGUAUGGCACAUCCAGCUGGAACACUUAGUCGAAAAAGAUAAAGUGUAACUUUAAUCAAAUGGCGUUAUAGAGUAAGAUGUUUUUGCUUAAAUGUUUUUAAAUUGACCAAAUUGUUUGUUUUUUUUCUUUGCUGGGGCCAAUAUUUUUGUGUCAAGAAAAAUAUGGAAAACUAUAUUAUUCGUCAUUAGGGAAAAUAUGUUAUGUAGACUUUUUAUGUUAAAAGAGGGGCAGAUGGGUACCACUUGGCUUUUAAAAAAAUGGUAAAUGUCAAUCUUGGGCUUCCAGCAAGUGCCUUUAUAUCCCUCAAACUGUAUGUAUGGUUAGCAAUUGAAUUCUAUUUCUUAUUGGUUCUAUGGGGUAAAUUUGCUCAGAUUUUGAGUAGCAGAAGUGAAAUGUUGUAGUUCACAUUGUGCUUUAAUAUCUGCAUAUUACCUUGCAAAUUGUUAAUUAUAUAAUUAGUUUUCUCAUGCUUGAAAAACAGAACAGUUACUUCUACCAUCAAUUUUGGCAAUUCAUUACUACCACUCAAUGCUGAUGAGCUGGAAAACAUGACAUUUUUGUUAUAAUCAUAUCUUUUUCUGCCUAGAUAAAUUUACGACCAAUUGUUUAUGAAACUGACAUUCUAAUUGCAGAGUUUGGCAUAUUUUGUAUGCAUUUACAAAUCAAGAGAAAUAAUGUAUCAUUAAAUGUAAUUACUCUAGAUUAGAUAAUAUAGUCUAUUUUUUAAGUAACCUCCGAUCUCAACU